rnacentral:lncRNA from 1 species
AAAUCAAAAUUUACCCCUAGCAUUAGCCAUAGGGUAGAUGAUCCUCUGGAGGAAGGUAGGAUUCCACGUCUUGGCCAGUGAUUUAU